GCGACGGCUAGCUCAGUUGGAUAGAGCAACUUGUUUGAUGCACAAACUUCGGCUGCGAGUUCGAAUCUCGCGGUGGGGCA